CCUACGGGAGGCAGCAGUGAGGAAUAUUGGUCAAUGGACGAGAGUCUGAACCAGCCAAGUAGCGUGAAGGAUGACUGCCCUAUGGGUUGUAAACUUCUUUUAUAUGGGAAUAAAACGUUCCACGUGUGGGAUUUUGUAUGUACCAUAUGAAGAAGGAUCGGCUAACUCCGUUCCAGCAGCCGCGAUAAUACGGAGGAUCCGAGCGUUAUCCGGAUUUAUUGGGUUUAAAGGGAGCGUAGGUGGAUUGUUAAGUCAGUUGUGAAAGUUUGCGGCUCAACCGUAAAAUUGCAGUUGAAACUGGCAGUCUUGAGUACAGUAGAGGUGGGCGGAAUUCGUGGUGUAGCGGUGAAAUGCUUAGAUAUCACGAAGAACUCCGAUUGCGAAGGCAGUUCACUGGACUGCAACUGACACUGAGGCUCGAAAGUGUGGGUAUCAAACAGGAUUAGAUACCCGAGUAGUC
rnacentral:rRNA from 1 species